rnacentral:rRNA from 1 species
GACGAACGCUGGCGGCGUGCUUAACACAUGCAAGUCGAACGGAAAGGCCUAGCUUGCUGGGUACUCGAGUGGCGAACGGGUGAGUAACACGUGGGUGAUCUGCCCCUGACUUUGGGAUAAGCCUGGGAAACUGGGUCUAAUACCGGAUAUUCAUUUUUCCUCGCAUGGGGAUUUGUGGAAAGCUUUUGCGGUUGGGGAUGGGCCCGCGGCCUAUCAGCUUGUUGGUGGGGUAAUGGCCUACCAAGGCGACGACGGGUAGCCGACCUGAGAGGGUGAUCGGCCACACUGGGACUGAGACACGGCCCAGACUCCUACGGGAGGCAGCAGUGGGGAAUAUUGCACAAUGGGCGCAAGCCUGAUGCAGCGACGCCGCGUGAGGGAUGACGGCCUUCGGGUUGUAAACCUCUUUCAGCUCCGACGAGGCGCAAGUGACGGUAGGAGCAGAAGAAGCACCGGCCAACUACGUG